CAUAUCACGUUGAAACAUCAGUUCCUAUACAAUCACUGAAGUUAAGCAAUGUCAAACCUGGCCAGUACCUAGAUGGGUGACUGCUUAGGAAUACUAGGUGUUGUAAG